GAUGAAGAACGUAGCGAAAUGCGAUACGUAAUGUGAAUUGCAGAAUUCAGUGAAUCAUCGAAUCUUUGAACGCAUAUUGCGCUCUCUGGUAUUCCGGAGAGCAUGCUUGUUUGAGUAUCAGUAAACACCUCAACUUCCAUAUCUUUUUUGAAAUGGGAGUUGGACUUGAGUGAUCCCAACGCUUUUCCUCACCGAAAAGUGGCGGGUUACUUGAAAUGCAGGUGCAGCUGGACUUUUCUCUGAGCUAUAAGCAUAUCUAUUUAGUCUGCCUAAAAAACAGAUUAUUACCUUUGCUGCAGCUAAUAUAAAGGAGAUUAGUUCUUGUGCUGACUGAUGCAGGAUUCACAAAGACAGGCUUCGGCCGACUUUGUAAACUCGAUCUCAAAUCAAGUAAGACUACCCGCUGAACUUAAGCAUAUCAAUAAGCGGAGGA
rnacentral:misc_RNA from 1 species